rnacentral:rRNA from 1 species
AGUGAACGCUGGCGAUAGGCCUAACACAUGCAAGUCGAACGGCAGCACAGUAACAGUUUGCUCUUACGGGUGGCGAGUGGCGGGCGGGAGAGGAAUACAUCGGAAAUUACUUUUUCGAGGGGGAUAACGGCGGGAAACUUACGCCAAUACCGCAUACGACCUACGGGUGAAAGCAGGGGAUCUUCCGACCUUGCGCGAUCGAAUGAGCGGAUGGCUGAUUAGGUAGUUGGCGGGGUAAAGGCCCACCAAGGCGUCGAUCCGUAGCUGGUCUGAGAGGAUGAUCAGCCACACUGGGACUGAGACACGGUCCAGACUCCUACGGGAGGCAGCAGUGGGGAAUUUUGGACAAUGGGCGCAAGCCUGAUCCAGCCAUACCGCGUGGGUGAUGAAGGCCUUCGGGUUGUAAAGCCCUUUUGUUGGGAAAGAAAAGCAGCUGGUUAAUAACGCGCUGUACUGACGGUACCGAAAGAAUAAGCACCGGCUAACUUCGUG